GAGUUUCGCAAGGGCCAUCCUCCUCCCAAAGGCCCGAGCGGAUUGUCCGCAGCAUCCUCCUCCCAAAGCUGCAGGGCACUAUUCGACGCCCGCCGGUCCUCCCCCGGCGGGCGUCUUCG
rnacentral:sRNA from 1 species